AUUGAACGCUGGCGGAAUGCUUUACACAUGCAAGUCGAACGGCAGCACGGGGCAACCUGGUGGCGAGUGGCGAACGGGUGAGUAAUAUAUCGGAACGUGCCCAAUCGUGGGGGAUAACGUAGCGAAAGUUACGCUAAUACCGCAUACGAUCUACGGAUGAAAGCGGGGGAUCGCAAGACCUCGCGCGAAUGGAGCGGCCGAUAUCAGAUUAGGUAGUUGGUGGGGUAAAGGCUCACCAAGCCAACGAUCUGUAGCUGGUCUGAGAGGACGACCAGCCACACUGGAACUGAGACACGGUCCAGACUCCUACGGGAGGCAGCAGUGGGGAAUAUUGGACAAUGGGCGCAAGCCUGAUCCGGCCAUGCCGCGUGUGUGAAGAAGGCCUUCGGGUUGUAAAGCACUUUUGUUGGGAAAGAAAUCCUGUCGGUUAAUACCCGGCGGGGCUGACGGUACCCAAAGAAUAAGCACCGGCUAACUUCGUGCCAGCAGCCGCGGUAAUACGAAGGGUGCAAGCGUUACUCGGAAUUACUGGGCGUAAAGCGUGCGUAGGUGGUUUGUUAAGUCAGAUGUGAAAGCCCCGGGCUCAACCUGGGAAUUGCAUUUGAUACUGGCAGACUAGAGUGCGGUAGAGGAGAGUGGAAUUCCCGGUGUAGCAGUGAAAUGCGUAGAGAUCGGGAGGAACAUCAGUUGCGAAGGCGGCUCUCUGGACCCAGCACUGACACUGAGGCACGAAAAGCGUGGGGAGCAAACAGGAUUAGAUACCCCUGGUAGUCCACGCCCCUAAACGAUGCCGAACUGGACGUUUGGGUGCAAUUGAGCAUUCAGUGUCGAAGCUAACGCGUUAAGUUCGCCGCCUGGGGAGUACGGUCGCAAGACUGAAACUCAAAGGAAUUGACGGGGGCCCGCACAAGCGGUGGAGUAUGUGGUUUAAUUCGAUGCAACGCGAAGAACCUUACCUGGCCUUGACAUGUCGAGAAGUCUGCAGAGAUGCGGAUGUGCCUUCGGGAACUCGAACACAGGUGCUGCAUGGCUGUCGUCAGCUCGUGUCGUGAGAUGUUGGGUUAAGUCCCGCAACGAGCGCAACCCCUGUCCUUAGUUGCCAGCACGUAAUGGUGGGAACUCUAAGGAGACUGCCGGUGACAAACCGGAGGAAGGUGGGGAUGACGUCAAGUCAUCAUGGCCCUUACGGCCAGGGCUACACACGUACUACAAUGGUGGGGACAGAGGGUCGCAAUACCGCGAGGUGGAGCCAAUCCCAGAAACCCCAUCUUAGUCCGGAUCGCAGUCUGCAACUCGACUGCGUGAAGUCGGAAUCGCUAGUAAUCGCGGAUCAGCAUUGCCGCGGUGAAUACGUUCCCGGGCCUUGUACACACCGCCCGUCACACCAUGGGAGUUUGUUGCACCAGAAGCAGGUAGCUUAACCGCAAGGGGGGCGCUUGCCACGGUGUGGCCGAUGACUGGGGUGAAGUCGUAA
rnacentral:rRNA from 1 species